ACUACAGCGCCAAGUUGAGUUCUUGUCAAUGAAGCUUGAAGCAGUCAAUUCAAGGAUGAACCCCUCCUUUGAGGGAUUUGCUUCUAAAGAUGUUGGGGCUCCAACAUUUGAUGCUACUGACAUGAUUUUUGGCUCACAAGCAAGAAGGGAAU